GAAAAAGGAAAGAGAUUUCACUAAUAAAAAUGAACCAAGUUUAACAAUAAAUCACUAUAAUAUUGAAUAAUCUUAGGCAACACUUUUAAAACUCAUGAGUAGACAACUUACAAUACACAACGACAAGUUGUCUAACUUUCAAGUGACAUAAUUCUCAACGCUAUUGAUUUAAAAUAUGUACAACACAUCAAUAAAGUAGAGUAGACUAAGUGUUGCAGCGGAGUAAUUCAUGUGGAUUACAUGUAUGAAGACAUGGAAUCCUGAGCCUGGUUUAAUACAUAUACAUCAAAGACUUUGCUCUGCUUGCUACCAUCUGCAUCACAGCUUAACCUGCAUAUUUAGAAACAUACGCAGGGCUGAGUACCAAAAAGCACUCAGUGGUCAUGCCGAAAUAACUUUAAAACUUGCUCUUAGAGCUAUAUAUUGAACUUGCCAUCUCAAACAUCACACAGGAGUUUUAUUUAAAUAACCUGUGUAUGCGAAACUGUAAAACUUCUCUAUAAUCAUCAUCACAUCAUAUACGUGUGCAGACAAUUAACAUGUAUGUACCAUAUCUACGCAUCAUAUAACUUUAAGUGUUGAGAAGUAGGCCUCCUUCUCAAACACGAUGACAAGCUAACUCAAAGGUUAACUGUUAUCUCUGUGUACACAAAUCCUGACUCGCUCAGGACCCGAAUUCGUUCUUCUAUGUAGAUGGUAUCAUACAAAUCUCAAAUAUUGGCAAGUCAAUAAUUGGAAAAUAAAUGCAUACACUCAAACUUUAUAUAAUAAAGUAUGCAUCUUUACUUCUUGAGUUAGUAAGCCCACCUGAUACGCUUAAUGAAAUAGAAGUCUUUGCUUGUUCAUUCUACACUGCCACUCGAACCUUCAUUAUAAUGAGGUUCCCAGGUAAGAUUGGAUAAUAAGUAAGUAAAUAGGAAAUAAAUCUUGAAUGGAACUUCUAUCGCUUGAAAGUUGUAGUAUUCUACUUUUAUGGACUUAACUAACUAAAAGCAAACAAUAACAUCAUAUCUCUUGGGAUAUCUCAAGUUGAAAAAGUAUAAGAGUAAACUAAUCCAUUCCAUAUAGAUUAGCUUACAAUUAAUAACUAAAACAUCAAUUCAAGAAUUGACCAAUGACUUAAGCAUAGUUCUACUCAACUAUCCCAAGUAAGUAACUUCAAAUAUGUAAUCAUAUAUGAAUCUCAACUUUGAAAAAUCAUAUAAAAUCAACCUCUUUCAAAGAAAAAUACAAGCUUUACCUUUUUAGAAAGCUCUUAAAGUCUAUUUUUAUUAGAAAUUUACAAAAAUACAAUAUCUCAAGUGUAUGAGAAGUUAUAUCAAGAAAGGCAGAAUCUGCCACUGAACUUCGCUGCUUCGCGCAGUACAUUUCAGAAAAUAGUUUGACACAUCUAAUGGUCUCGGAUUUAGCUGAAAUUUUGCAGACACGUACUACUCAUGAUGAAGUUAUUACUGUAAAAAUUUCAAGAUAUUUGAACCACGGGAACACCCUCAAAAGUAUCCCUCAAUACACUGUCCUGUACAGCCAAGAACUGACAGCAGGGGUAUCUCUUACUUCAACUCAACAAAAUACAUAUCUUGGCUAAAUAAAGUGAUGUAGGGCUCAAAUAUACAUCAUCUUACUACAUACUAGCAUGCUUGAAAUCCUCCAAUUUCUAUCAUAUAGUUUAUUUUACAAUCUCAAGAGUACAAUUAUACAAGUUUCAAACAUAUGGCUAUCUUACAUCAAGAAUUCCCAAAUCCACUUAUAAACUAACAAAAUCCAUCUCACAAACUAUGUGGUGUAAACUCAUAAUUUACUCAUAUAUGACAUAAUUCCAACUCAAGAACACAUAUAUGAGUCCAAUUAUUCAAGAACAUAAUCAUAACUCUCAACCUCAAACCUAGGGUUCAUACUAACUUGAGUAAACUCGAAAUCAAGUAAGAAUUAAUACAAUUAACUAGCAUAAUCACGGUUAGGAACAUCAAAGACAUACUAUAUCUCAAUAUUAAAAUCAUACUUCAACUCUAGUAUGAAAUCCCCAAAUUUUCGAAACCCUAGACUUCAAAAUAUAAUUUUUCUUCAAGCUAAAAUCACAAAUAGAUGGAGAAUCAAAGAAUUCACCUUUCUUUCAAAAUAGUGCUGCUACUGCUUGACAUAUCUCUACGAAAUUAAGCUUGAAGGUAAGAAAAUGGUGAUUUUUGAUUUCUUUUGGGGAUGGGGAGAUGGUCGACUGUUUUGGGGAGAAGAAAAGGAAAUGAAUCUCCUCAAAACUAAUAUAUACACUUUACAAUAAAUCAAUACUUAUCUCAAACAUUAAAA
rnacentral:lncRNA from 1 species